AUGGUGCUUCACGAUAAUCUAGGCAAUAUUAUUUACUCAUCUUGCAGGGAGUUAUUUUCAUGCCGAGAUGCCCUUGAAGCAGAAUUAUGCGCAUGCAUGGAGGGUUUAUCCAUUGCUAUUCAGCGGACGGAACUUCCAGUUUGUAUCGAGAUGGAUUCAAUUAUAGCGGUGAACAUGUUGAAGGACAAGGACAUUGACAGGUCAAUCUAUGCGUCUUUGGUGGCAGAGAUAAAGUACUUGAAGUCUCUUCGAACGACUAGUAUUGUUCAUAUCAAGCGUGGUCAAAUUUUAAUUAGUGACUUUUUAGCUAGUUUUGCUAGAACUGAGAGUAGAACUGUUGUCUGGUUGGGAUCAGGACCCCCAGAAGUCAUCAAUUUAUGUAAGCAGGAUUGUACGUUUGAUGCUUGA
rnacentral:rRNA from 1 species